AAUAAGUGCAGUUUUAUACUGUUCAUGUUCAACGUUUAACCGUCUGUCUUAUUUGAAAAUUUUUAUGAUUAGUAUUUUUAUUGUUAUUAGAUGAUAAAAUAUGAAUAAUACUUUAUAUGUGACUAUUUUUAUUAAUUUUUUUAUAAUUAUUUUUAAAUAAGAAGAACGGUUAAACGUUAGACACGGAUAUCAACGGCUACAUUUAUU
rfam:Oryza glumipatula chromosome 6, whole genome shotgun sequence.